rnacentral:lncRNA from 1 species
AGAAAUUGAGUAUUUUGGGGCGCAAUUGAGAAUUUUAGGGUAAAACUGAGAAUUUUGGGGCAGGAAUUGAGGAUUUUGAGUGGAAAUUGAGAAUUUUGAGGCAGAAAUUGAGAAUUUUGGGGCAGAAAUUGAGAAUUUUGUGGCAGAAAUUGAGGAUUUUGGGCUGGGAGGUCAGGAUUUUGGGGGAAAAUUGAGAAUUUUGGAGAGAAAUUGAGGAUUUUGGGGUGGGAAUUGAGAAUUUUGGGGCGGGAGUUCAUGAUUUUGGGGAAAAAAAUUCGAAUUUUAGGGUAAAAUUGAGAAUUUUGGGGCGGGAAUUGAGGAUUUUGAGGCAGAAUUGAGACUUUUGGGGUGGGAGUUCAGGAAUUUUGGGGAGAAAUUGGGUAUUUUGGGGCACAAUUGAGAAUUUUAGGGUAAAAUUGAGAAUUUUGGGGUGGGAGUUCAGGAUUUUGGGGAAAAUUGAGAAUUUUAGGGUAAAACUGAGAAUUUUGGGGCAGGAAUUGAGGAUUUUGGGGUAAAACUGAGAAUUUUGGGGCAGGAAUUGAGGAUUUUGAGUGGAAAUUGAGAAUUUUGGAGAGAAAUUGAGGAUUUUGGGGUGGGAAUUGAGAAUUUUGGGGCGGGAGUUCAUGAUUUUGGGGGAAAAAAUGAGAAUUUUAGGGUAAAAUUGAGAAUUUUGGGGUGGGAAUUGAAGAUUUUGAGUGGAAAUUGAGAAUUUUGGGGCAGAAAUUGAGGAUUUUGAGUGGAAAUUGAGGAUUUUGAGGCAGAAAUUUCAAAUUUUAUGGCGGAAAAUUCGAAUUUUCGUGUGGGAAUUCCCGAUUUGAGAGGCUCAAGUGUCGAAUUUAUGGCCCAAAAAUGACCCGAAAAAACCCCGAAAUUGGGUAAAUUGGGGCCGGGCUGGAAUUGGGGUGAAACCCCCCGAUUUUGGGUCCCCCAGCCCCAUUUUUCCUGCCAGGCCCGGCCGUGCCAUGGAGGAGGAGGAGGAGAAACCCCCCCGGGGGGGGGAGGAGCCGCGAGAGCAGCGGGAGGGACCCGGCCAGGGGCUACUGAAAGCUCUGCAGCGCCUCCUGAGCGGCGCCGGCACCUGGGGACAAGACCCCCCCCACAAGCCCCCCCGGCUGCAGCGCUGGUGCUGGGGAGCCCGGCCCGAGGGCGGCACGGUUUGGGAGCCCGUGGGGGGCCCGGGGGGGGCCCUGGAGCAGCUGCAGCUCAGCAGCGGGGAGGGGUCCCCCGAAGACGAGGAGCUGGAGUUGGUGGCCGAGGUCCGCGUGGCCGAUUUGGGGGGGCUGGCGGCCGCCUCGGGGCUCCUGCGCCGGGAGCGGCCCUGGAGAGCCCCCAAAGGAGGUCAGGGGGUCGGGGGGGGGAUUUGGGGGGAUUUGGGGGGAUUUGGGGGCAUUUUGGGGGGUUUUGGGAGGAUUUUGGGUGCAUUUCCGGGGGUUUUCAGGAGGGUUUGGGUGGAUUUGGGGGUGUUUGGGAUGGAUUUUGGGGGGGUUUGGGAUGGAUUUUGG